rnacentral:tRNA from 2 species
CUUUGAAGGCUUUUAGUUUAAUUAACUUAAAUCUCUUUUAUAUAUA